GAUGAACGCUGGCGGCGUGCCUAAUACGUGCAAGUCGAGCGAACAGACGAGGAGCUUGCUCCUCUGACGUUAGCGGCGGACGGGUGAGUAACACGUGGAUAACCUACCUAUAAGACUGGGAUAACUUCGGGAAACCGGAGCUAAUACCGGAUAAUAUAUUGAACCGCAUGGUUCAAUAGUGAAAGACGGUUUUGCUGUCACUUAUAGAUGGAUCCGCGCCGCAUUAGCUAGUUGGUAAGGUAACGGCUUACCAAGGCGACGAUGCGUAGCCGACCUGAGAGGGUGAUCGGCCACACUGGAACUGAGACACGGUCCAGACUCCUACGGGAGGCAGCAGUAGGGAAUCUUCCGCAAUGGGCGAAAGCCUGACGGAGCAACGCCGCGUGAGUGAUGAAGGUCUUCGGAUCGUAAAACUCUGUUAUUAGGGAAGAACAAAUGUGUAAGUAACUAUGCACGUCUUGACGGUACCGAAUCAGAAAGCCACGGCUAACUACGU
rnacentral:rRNA from 1 species